rnacentral:tRNA from 1 species
UUUCCAGUGGUCCAGUGGUUAGGACUCUGUGCUUCCACUGCAGGGGGCCUGGGUUCAAUCCCAAGUUGAGGAA